GUCGUUCUGAGGGAUCCAAUCAGAAAUCUUCGUGUUUGGCGCCAAUGCAGUUGGAGGCUCGCCACGGUAACGCCAAAUCACCUGAAAGGAAGAAAACUCUCCUCAGUCCCUGAAUGUUCGUCUGUGAGUGGGCGGAGCUUCUGACCUUCUGUGGGAUCUGACCGAAGGCGGUGGCGAUGAUGUUAGCGUGCUGCAUCGUCAG